GUCUUAUUGAUAAUAAUUUUAAGUCAAUCCGCCCAAUGAUUUUAUUAAAUGGCUGCAGUAUAAUUAACUGUACAAAGGUAGCAUAAUCAAUUGAUUUUUAAAUGAAAUCUAGAAUGAAAGGAUUAAUGAAAUAUAUACUGUCUCAAAUAUAUAAUAUAAAUUUAAAUUUUUAAUAAAAAUGUUAAAAUUUUUUUAUGGGACGAUAAGACCCUAUAGAAUUUUAUAUAAAUUUAUUAUUAUAAUUAAUAUAAUAAUUAAAUUUAUAUUUAAUUGGGAGGAUUAUUAAAUUUAGUAAACUUUAAUUUUUAUAAACUUAAAUUAAAGAAAAAUUUAUGAUCUUUAAUUUAAAAUUAAUAGAAUAAAUUACCUUAGGGAUAACAGCGUUAUAUUUUUUUAUAGAUCAUAUAGAAAAAAAUGAUUGCGACCUCGAUGUUGAAUUAAGAUAAAUUUUUAAUGUAGAAGUUAAAUAAUUAAGUCUGUUCGACUUUUAAAAUCUUACAUGAUUUGAGUUCAAAUCGACGUAAGU
rnacentral:rRNA from 1 species